GACGAACGCUGGCGGCGUGCUUAACACAUGCAAGUCGAACGGGCCCGCCCCUGUUUUUGGGGGUGGGUUGAGUGGCGAACGGGUGAGUAUCACGUGAGUAACCUGCCCCCUGCUCCUGGAUAACUGCUUGAAAGGGCGGCUAAUACGGGGUGUGCCGGCUGGUCCGCAUGGGCCUGGUCGGGAUAGUUUCAUCUUCGGGUGUUUCGGUGGGGGAUGGGCUCGCGGCCUAUCUGCUUGUUGGGGGGGUGAUGGCCCACCAAGGCGGUGACGGGUAGCCGGCCUGAGAGGGUGGGCGGCCACACUGGGACUGGGACACGGCCCAGACUCGUGCGGGAGGCAGCAGUGGGGGGUAUUGCACGAUGGGCGGAAGCCUGAUGCAGCGACGUCGCGUGAGGGAUGGGGGCCUUCGGGUUGUGAACCUCUUUCUCCGGUGGUGAAGGCCCUGUCCGUUGCGGCGGGGUUGACGGUAGCCGGGUAUGAAGCGCCGGCUAACUACGUG
rnacentral:rRNA from 1 species